UGGGGAAUUUUGGACAAUGGGCGCAAGCCUGAUCCAGCCAUGCCGCGUGCGGGAAGAAGGCCUUCGGGUUGUAAACCGCUUUUGUCAGGGAAGAAAUCUUCUGAGUUAAUACCUCGGGAGGAUGACGGUACCUGAAGAAUAAGCACCGGCUAACUACGUGCCAGCAGCCGCGGUAAUACGUAGGGUGCAAGCGUUAAUCGGAAUUGCUGGGCGUAAAGCGUGCGCAGGCGGUUUUGUAAGACAGAGGUGAAAUCCCCGGGCUCAACCUGGGAACUGCCUUUGUGACUGCAAGGCUUGAGUGCGGCAGAGGGGGAUGGAAUUCCGCGUGUAGCAGUGAAAUGCGUAGAUAUGCGGAGGAACACCGAUGGCGAAGGCAAUCCCCUGGGCCUGCACUGACGCUCAUGCACGAAAGCGUGGGGAGCAAACAGGAUUAGAUACCCUGGUAGUCCACGCCCUAAACGAUGUCAACUGGUUGUUGGGAAGGUUCCUUCUCAGUAACGUAGCUAACGCGUGAAGUUGACCGCCUGGGGAGUACGGCCGCAA
rnacentral:rRNA from 1 species